CUUGUUCUUAUUGGCUCUGUUUAUUGAAAACCGAGGAUCUUUGCUGUAACGUGACACUUCCUACGGCUCCCAUAGGCUCUCAGAACCCGGGAAAAAGCUGAAUGAUAUCGAGGCAGCCCCUGGCUGAAAAACAUUAGCGCGUUUGGAUAGUGGCCGGUCAGAGUACUAUGAGACUCAGGCUCGUGCACGAGGGGAUCCCAUGCUUUUAUUUUCUCUCUUUGAACGUAAACACGGUUUCCCGGUCGGAAUAUUAUCGCUUUUUUACGAGAAAAAUGGCACAAAAAUUGAUUUUAAACAGCGGUUGACAUGCUUCGAAGUACAGUAAUGGAAUAUUUCGAUUUUUUUUUGUCACGAAAUGCGUCGUGCGCGUGACCCUUAUUUACACUUCGGAUAGUGUCUUGAACGCACAAACAAACCGCCACUAUUUGGAUAUAACUAUGGAUUAUUUUGAACCAAACCAACAUUUGUUAUUGAAGUAGAAGUCCUGGGACUGCAUUCUGACGAAGAACAGCAAAGGAGGGGUGCGUCACUUGAGUGGGUUGAGUCACUGACGUGGUCUUCCUGUCUGAGUUGCCCCCCCCCCUUGGGUUGUGCCGUGGCGGAGAUCUUUGUGGGCUAUACUCGGCCUUGUCUCAGGAUGGACCUGAGCCCUAGGACAGUGCCUCAGGACUACCUGACAUGAUGACUCCUUGCUGUCCACCUGGCCCUGCUGCUGCUCCAGUUUCAACUGUUCUGCCUGCGGCUAUGGAACCCUGACCUGUUCACCGGAUGUGCUACCUGUCCCAGACCUGCUGUUUUCAACUCUCUAGAGACAGCAGGAGCGGUAGAGAUCCACUCAAUGAUCGGCUAUGAAAAGCCAACUGACAUUUUACUCUUGAGGUGCUGACUUGUUACACCCUCGACAACUGUGAUUAUUAUUAUUUGACUCUGCUGGUCAUUUAUGAACAUUUGAACAUCUUGGCCAUGUUCUGUUAUAAUCUCCACCCGGCACAGCCAGAAGAGGACUGGCCACCCCUCAUAGCCUGGUUCCUCUCUAGGUUUUGGCCUUUCUAGGGAGUUUUUCCUAGCCACCGUGCUUCUACACCUGCAUUGCUUGCUGUUUGGGGUUUUAGGCUGGGUUUCUGUACAGCACUUUGAGAUAUCAGCUGAUGUAAGAAGGGCUAUAUAAAUACAUUUGAUGUGAUUUGAUUUUGUAUGGGAUGCUGCCAUGUUAACUUGAGCUAGAAACCAAAGAGGGACUCAAUUGGAAUGUUACCUGUAGGAAUAUUCCCUGUUUGUUGGGAUGUACAUUUGCUGUCUUUAUCAGCCUGUGUGUGUGUUUGUGCAUGUCUCCCUGGGCCUGUGUAUUGUUUGCAGUGCGGUGCUGGGGGCUGUCUCAUUGAACAAUAUGAUCUUGUUGCCAUCUGAUGCACAUUGAUGUCAUAAAUCAGCACUGCAGAGCUCUCCUUGUCCUAGGCCGUGCCUUUAUUGUAUUACUGUUGAUGAUAUCUGGAAAUGUGCAUGUACACCCUCGCCCAUCUACUGUUGCUAGCCCCAACUCUAACUUGUGCUCAGAUAUCUGCUUCACUGAUUUCUGCUCUAGUAAAAGCCUGGGUUUUCUGCACGUUAACACUAAAAGCUUAUUACCUAAAAUGGAUCAAUUGAAAGUGUGGGUUCACAGCUCCAAUCCAGAUCUGUUGGUCAUUACUGAGCCGUGGUUAAGGAAGAGUGUUUUGAAUACUGAUGUUAACCUUUCUGGUUAUAACCUUUCUGGUUAUAACCUUUUUCGGCAAGACAGAUCUUCCAAAGGUGGGGGAGUGGCAAUCUUUACCAAGGAUCACCUUCAGUGCUCAGAUGUCUCCAAGUCUGUCCCCAAACAAUUUGAUUUGCUGGUUUUAAGCAUUGAACUUUCAAAUAGCUCUUUGUUGACUGUUGCUGGGUGCCAUCAUCCUCCAUCAGCACCGGCCUGUACCUGUCCUUCCCUAAGCUCUCUCCUGGCCCCUUACACUAAGUCUGAAUUCGUCCUGCUAGGUGACCUAAACUGGGACAUGCUUAAACCACCUGACCAAGUCCUGAAGCAAUGGGACUCCCUAAAUCUUUCAGAUUAUUACCAAUUUCACAAGCUAUGACUCCAAACAACCAGAAAAGACUACUCUCCUCGAUGUUAUGCUCACAAAUAAUCCUUAUAGGUGUCAGUCUGGGGUUUUCUGUAUAGACCUCAGUGAUCACCGUUUUACAGCCCGUGUUUGUAAUAUCUGCGCGGGGAAACGACCAGUCCUGAUUUGUCAUAGACGCUUGAUAAACUUUUUAAAACCGCUUAAGGAUCCACCCCUUUUUCUUUUUUUUUUUUUUUAAGUUUCGUCUUAAAUGACAUACCCAAAUCUAACUGCCUGUAGCUCAGGCCCUGAAGCAAGGAUACACAUUUUUUUUUUCCUACGCAUUUUCAAUCCCAUAAAGAAAAUGAGAAUUAAAAACAGGUUCAGCCCCUGGUUUGACUGUGAUCUUGCAGAGUCACGCCACCUCAAGAAUUGCAUUUGGCAUAAGGCUCGCCACACGCAUACAGUGGUUGCUCAAAAAGUUCUGCGAUUAUGCUGCGUAACUUAGAGGUAAUUUCUGGUUUAGUAUGGUACCCUGCGUCACUACUUCAUUGCUCCAGACCAGAGCAAGGGGG
rnacentral:lncRNA from 1 species